rnacentral:rRNA from 1 species
CCAAUAGCGUAUAUUAAAGUUGUUGCAGUUAAAAAGCUCGUAGUUGAACUUCGGGGUCUACCCAUUGGUCAGGCUUAAUUGUCUGCACUGGUGAGAUGGAUCUCUACCUUCUGAGGAACUUUCAUGCCAUUUAUUUGGUGUGAUGGGAAAUCAGGACUGUUACUUUGAAAAAAUUAGAGUGUUUAAAGCAGACUAUCGUCUGAAUACAUUAGCAUGGAAUAAUGAAAUAGGACGGACUGAUUCUAUUUCGUUGGUUUCUAGGAUCACCGUAAUGAUUAAUAGGAAUAGUUGGGGGCAUUAGUAUUCAAUUGUCAGAGGUGAAAUUCUUGGAUUUAUUGAAGACUAACUACUGCGAAAGCAUUUGCCAAGGAUGUUUUCAUUAAUCAAGAACGAAAGUUAGGGGAUCGAAGACGAUCAGAUACCGUCGUAGUCUUAACCAUAAACUAUGCCGACUAGGGAUCGGACGAAGUUAAUUUUAUAAUGACGCGUUCGGCACCUUACG